rnacentral:lncRNA from 1 species
GGAGAUGCUUCCCUAAUUUCAAUUACUUCACUUUUGGUCUUUCCAUGGUGGAAAUCGGAUGGAAGAUGCUUUGCAAUAGCAGGACCUUUGACAACCUUGUAUUUUUGAAACUUUUCAGUAUUACUAUCACUUUCUUUCCUAAUCUGAGAAGAACCAAUAGAAUAAGUGGAGGCUGCAUUGUAAGGAGUUUUAACAUCCAAACCUGGACAUUUCCAGGAUCUGCUUCGAAUUUCAAGAGUUACCCCGAUACAGAGGACAGAUUCAAAAGCAUGUAAGAUGUAUGCUCUGAACUUCUCGGCUUUUGAUUUAUCUGUAUCUGUGUUGAACAUCAACUGCACUGUAGGUGCUGUUCGCAAUUACAAUAUUUGAGUAGAUUAAAGUUUAAAUAUGGAUUCAAAGAAAAUUAUGCAAUCAUGAAACAGUAUAUAAACAUCACUUACCCACACCAAAAUUGACUGACACUAGCUUUCCUUCUUGAUGCAUAAAAUUUUUCAGAGUAUUUAUCUGGAUUUGUUCAAGUACGUCGAUCCAAAUUCUCUCGAAGUCCACAGAGUCUGUAUUUUUUUUGACAAUAUCUGUUCUGUUAAUUUCUCUACAACGACGUGUCUUCUCCUGUAUUAUACUGGUAUUGACUUCAUUUCCUUUGUUUUCCUUAAUGUCAUUACUACUACUGUUACCAAUAUGAUUUGUAUUUGUGGGUAAUAAACUUUCUAUGAAACUAGUAUCACCAGAAGAAUUCGGAAACAUAUACUGUUGAUCUGAAGCAAGUUGGAGCAUGGAAGCUGUAAGCCAUGUUAUUUUGUCAUUUGACAC